rnacentral:lncRNA from 1 species
CCAGCUUCACGGGCUUUAUGAUGAAGUCCUCGGCACCUUCUUCGUAGCAACUGUUGAAACGAUCAUCCAUUCACACGGUUAGAAGGAGGUCGUCUUUAACUUGUUUACGCAAAUUCAACCAACCUGUUUAUCCUUUGUUCUACGUUUUCAGACGACAUGAUCACAACCGGGAUCUCCUUGAGUGAAGAAACACCCUGCCAUCAAACCAGUGGACCCGCAAAUCGGUAAACCUCCUUUUGGAAAAAGAAAAAAAAGCGAUUUUUUUCACUCACCUUUACUCUCUUCAGAAGAUCAUAGCCUGUCAUAUGAGGCAUACAGUAAUCCGUGAUGAUCAUGCUGAUUUGAAUGCCCUGCGACGACCACAAAACCGUAAGCCUCUGAAAAAUCUUUACUUGGCUGUGAAGAAAACUAGCCUUACUGCUAAUUUAAUUGUUUUUUCUCUCUUACCUCGGAAGGAGCUGCUGCUGGAGAAGCCUGUCCGUCAACAAUGCCCAGAAUUUCCAGCGCUCGCAAUGCGCUGUCCACGGCCGUGACUGCAAGAAGAGCAAACAAGCAAGCGAUUUCAAUCGAGAAAUUCAUCGCCCAGAUUCGAAGACUAUCUUUCUUACCUUUGAACGAGGAAGAGG